rnacentral:lncRNA from 1 species
CUACAAGACCCAACUCCAUGAACCUUUUUAUGAUACUCCCCAUAAGCAUAAUUGAUUGUUCUCUCCUUGAAUUUCUAGUCCUGCUCCCUCAUACCUUGCCCACACUUCAUUUAUCUUCUCUCAUUAACCGUGUUUUAUUUAUACCUGAAUCCCCAGGGCCUAACACUGUCCCUGAUAAAUAAUAAUUGCUCAGUAUAUGUUGGGUAAACAAUGCACCAAUCAAGCAUCCCAGAAAACAGUUGAGAAGUAUGAUUCAUAGUGCAAGAAUAUUUGCUAAGGAUUUUGUGAUCUUGUGGCCUUUUUCUCUCCAUAAAAAUUAUGAAAAAAUCUGUGACUAAAAGAAUAAACAGGGAAUAGGUUGGUAUUAAAAUCCUGAGGGAUCACGCGGCUGUCGAUAGGGAAAGAUCAAGAGGAGGAAGCUGGAGUAUUUUGGGCACUUCUGAAGGGGAGAUGGAGACCAUCUGGAGAGGAGGAUGCUGCAGGAAUGAGUGCCAGGACAGAGAUAAAAGUGAAUGGAAAGGAAAUGGUGGCUGAACAACAUCAAAGAGGCAUCUCUACUGCAGAAUUGAACAAGCAACUGCGCACUCUCUGGCAGAGACACAAGUGGGUGGCAUUGGUUGAUGUAUCCUGAUGGUUAUGACAAGGACGAAGGAACGGGAACAUAAUUUGGUUUAAGACAGCUUCCUCCAGCGUAGCUGGGCUUAUGUGCUUGGGACAAAGUAAUACGAAACAACGGGACACGGACAGCCUGAUUCUGAGUGUGCAAAGCUGUGGCUUUCCCUCCUAUGGACGCCUUCUGAACAGCAGAUCUGACUUCCUCCUCAAACCAAGGCAUCCUGAAAACAUCCAAGCAGAGGAAGCAUUUUUUCAUCAUGACAUGGGAAAGGGCCACAGAGAUCCAAAUGGAAACGGACAUUUCAUGUUUUUUGAAUCUCCAAGGUUUCAAAGCAUGGAUAACUGA